AAUAUUGGACAAUGGGCGAAAGCCUGAUCCAGCCAUGCCGCGUGAGUGAUGCAGGCCUUAGGGUUGUAAAGCUCUUUCACCGAGGAAGAUAAUGACGGUAGUCGGAGAAGAAGCCCCGGAUAACUUCGUACCAGCAACCGCGGUAAUACGAAGGGGGCUAGAGUUGUUCGGGUUUACUGGGCGUAAAGCGCACGUAGGCGGAUUGGUCAGUUAGAGGUGAAAUCCCGAAGCUCAACUUCGGAACUGCCUUUAAUACUGCCGGUCUAGAGUGCGAGAGAGGUGAGUGGAACGCCGAGUGUAGAGGUGAAAUUCGUAGAUAUUCGGAGGAACACCAGUGGCGAAGGCGGCUCACUGGCUCGAUACUGACGCUGGGGUGCGAAAGCGUGGGGAGCAAACAG
rnacentral:rRNA from 1 species